rnacentral:lncRNA from 1 species
CUGGAGAAGGGAAGGACUAUCCGCUCCAGUAUUCUUGCCUGGAGAAUUUCAUGGACAGAGGAGGCUGGCGGACUACCGUCGAUGGGGUCACUAAGAGUCGGGCACGAAUGAGCAACUGGCACUUUCACUUUCCAGCCAACUCACAGAAUCAUUGUUGCUUUGAGCCUCUAGGUUUUGGAGUGGUGAGUCACGCUGCCAUUGACAAUCGGAACAGCGAGGAAACUGGGAUCACAGAGGCUGAGUGAGCUCCCCAAGGAAGUUCAGUUUCUGUUAAUGAACUGACAUACCUGCUGGAGGACUGAUGAUGGCUUCCUGAGAUACUGGUGCCCCAGAGGACCUUCAGGGGAGCCUAUGCCAGGAAGGCAGAGAUACGAAGAAGCAACAGUCUCCCCUGGAACGGAAGAGGCUCCUGAAGUCCCUGUGAGGUGGACACACUGGGGGCAGAAACACGGAAGCGCAACCUUUUACCUGCAAUUGAAGUCAGCUCGCUCCCCAGCGCGCCCUCACCCGUGUCUAAGAUGACUCUGGCCCUCAGGGUUCACAUGUAACGUCGGUGAGGCAAAUAUGAAGGACCUUUCAAGGUGCCUGCUUUCAUCACUGACAGUCUCCCAGCCUCGUCUGCAAUGUUCUCACAGUCACAGUCCUCUGAGCUACCACGGGGUGUCUGCAGUUCACCUGCUUCAGUUCCCUGCAGGGAUGUCAGCUGCCAAGGCCUCUGACGCUGCCGCAUGGCCUUUGAAGAUUCUGAGGACGCUGAGGUGCUGAUGCAGGCUUUGUCUCCAACUCGUGAUGCACGCGCUAGCACCAGCAUCAUUGGCUUAGCAGGUGCCCCCCUUUGUUCUUGUAGACUUGUUAAUAAAGCUUUUCCUUCAAUACCCACCAACAGGUUUGCUGGCUAUUAUAUGUGAUUCCUUGAUGAAGUUGGAUGAGUUCUCUUACUGUAAUUUUUUAUUUUUAUGAAAAUAGGGCUGUGAUAGACUUGCUUCACAGGUCCUUCAUAUAAAUCUUGAAUCAAUGACCUAUGGCCAUGAGAUGCUGUAUAAGAACCAUCCACAAAACCUCACCAGUCUUUGGGUCACAUGAGUGGCUAUGGCUUGUUCUAUAACAGGGGUCCCCAACCUCCUGGAUUCAAUGGCUGGUGAUCUAAGGUAAAGCUGAUGUAAUAAAUAGAAAUAAAGUGCACAAUAAAUAUAAUGUGUUUGAAUCAUCCUAAAACCAUCCCCCUACCCCUGGUCCGUGGAAAACUUUUCUUCC